UUAACCAUGGCUACCAAUUUGUCCCUUAAUAAAUGUCCUCACCUCGGCUUCCAUUCUCAGAGCCGCCACCGAGAAAAGUAAAAACUCCCGAUACUCAUCGGAGUUGGGGUUUCCGAUCAGAAAGUUCAAAUCUUUCGCCAUUUCCCACACUCUCACUUCUCGUCAAAUUGAACACUCAAUCCUCGACAUUUUGGGGAACGCCGUUAGGGUUUCGGCAUUAGCGAUUCCCGGAUGUUCACGCCGCUGAGGAAGGCGCCGAGGACCACCUACAAGGGCAAAGCCGUGGCGUACGUCGACGGUCCUCCGCCGCCACUGGGCUCGCUGAGCGAAAUCAGAAGCGGCAGCGGCGGGGCCAAAAACGUCGCCGGAUUUGGACAAUGCCGAUUGGAGGCGGUUUAAGGAGGUUGGGCUGCUCGGUGAGGCAGCCAAUAAGGUCGCUAGGCUUGAGUCUGAGCUUUAACAUAGCAUGGGGCUUCUCCUCACUGAGAAGAAAGAGUGAGCAUUGGAGCAUGAGGAGUUGAGCCAAGCAUUGGUUUUGGCUGAAACCCAAGAGAUUCUACACAGGGAGCAGAGGGCUCAUCUGAUCGCAAUUUCGGAAGUCAAAAGGCGAGAGGAGAAUUUGAGGAAGAUAUUGGUGGAGGAAAAGAGGUCUGCAGCUGAGCUCGAAAAGUCAUUGCGUGAAAUGCACGAGGAGUAUACCCGGAUAAAGCAUGCAUCUGAGGCGAAGGUGGCUAUACAAAUGCGUUGAUUGUUAGUGUUGAAGAUAAAUCUCUAGUGACAGAUGAGAAGUUUCUUGCUGCUGAAGCCAAGCUUGCUGAGGCCAACAAAAAGAGUCUGGAGGUGGAGAGGAGGUUGCAAGAGGUGGAGACACGUGAGUGUGCGCUUCGGAGGGAGCAAGCGUCGUUAAGUACAGAGAGAGAGGCACACAAGACAACUUUUUACAGACAAAGAGAAGACUUGAACGAGUGGAAAAGAAGUUAAAAGAAGGGGAAGAGAGGCUAAGCAAUCUUCGUAAAAUUUUGAACGAGAAAGAGGAAAAAACAAAUGAAAACGAGAUGAUUCUUAAGCAAAAAGAGAGAGACCUUUAUGAGGCUGAAAGGAAGAUUGAGUCUUCAAACUCUCUGUUGAAAGAGAAGGAAGAUGAUGUGAAUAAACGCCUAGCAGACCUAGUCUCAAAGGAAAAGGAGGUUCAUUCAGCUUCAUACAUCUUAGAGAUGAAGGAGAGAGAAUUACAUGCAUUGGAGGAAAAACUAAAUUCAAGAGAAAUGUGGAGAUUAAAGAGCACCUUGGCCAGCACAGGGCCAUUCUUGAUAGAAAAAUGCAGGCUUUUGAGUAGGGAAUUGAGGAAAGGAGGAAAUCUUUUGAGAAGGAACAGAGUAGCAAGAUAGAAGCGGUGGAACAAAAGGAACUUGAAAUCAGUCAUAAGGAAGAAAUGUUGAAGAAGCAAGAGAAAGCGUUGGAUGAGAAAUCAGAGAGGCUGAAGGAGAAACAUAAGGAAGUUGAAACAAAUUUGAAAAAUUUGAAGGAGAAAGAGAAGACCUUCAAAGCUGAUGAGAAAAAGUUAGAGCUGGAAAGGCAGCAAAUACUUACUAAUAUAGAGCACCUUCAGAAUCUUAAAGAUGAAAUUCAGGAAAUAAAAGACGAAAAUGCUCAACUGGAGCAGCAAAUUCGUGAAGGGAGAGAGAAGCAGGGAAUUACCGAGCAAGAGAGGUCGGACCACCUAUGUUUGCAGUCAGAACUGCAGCAGGAAAUAAACAAUUAUAGACUUCAGAAUGAGUUACUUUUGAAGCAAGCUGAAGAUCUGAAGCAGGAGAGGGAAAAGUUCGAAAAAGACUGGGAAGAUUUGGAUGAGAGAAGAGCUAAAGUUGAUGCAGAGCUUAGAAAAGUUGUUGAAGAGAAAGAAAAAUUGGAAAGAUUACAGUGUAUUGAAGCAGAGAGGUUGAAAGUACAGAGACAAGCAGUGCUGGAUUACAGACAGAGGGAGAUGGAAAAUCUCAAGCAGUAGAAAGAAUCAUUUGUAGCUAAGAUGAGUAAUGAGCAGAUAGCCUUAUCUGAAAGGGCCCUAUCUGAGCAUGCUCAAAUGGUCCAUGAUUUUGAGUCACGGAGAAGAGAUCUUGAGAUUGAUAUGCAGAAUUGGCAGGAUAAGAUGGUAAAAAAACUUCAGGAAAGGGUUCAUUUGAGGAGGAGAAGGAUAGAGAACAUACUAAUAUUAAUUUCUUGAAGGGAGUAGCUGAUAAGCAAAGAAAAGAGCUAUUAUCUGAAAGGAAUAUGAAUGAAAAGGAAAGGGAAGCGCUUGCACUGCAGCAGAAGGAGCUGGAAGCGAACCAACUUGAAACGCGAGAAGACAUAGAUCAGCUUGACAAGCUUAGCAAGAAGAUCAAGUGCCAGAGGGAACAGCUGAUUGGGGAAAGCGGUCGCUUUCUUGCCUUUGUACCAUGCUGAGGCUGUUCCUGAUUCUGAACAUAAAGAGUCAGGAUGGGGGAAAAACUGCAACAGAAAUGCAAGUUAGUGGUUUCCAAAGUAACUUCAAAUAAAAACAUGUUGUAUCUACUGACUUACCACCACUAUCGGCUAUGCAGUAAGGAAAGGAAUCCAACUUUCUUGCUGAUGAGGAAGCAAGAGGUCCUAGCAGUCAUGAAGAGCCUCAGCCAUCUCUUAGGAGAUGUAAUGACUCGGCCAAUGCUCAAGCAGUCGUAACUGAUAACAACUCUAAGGAGGCGGAUGAUGGGUAUGCUCCAUCAAUUGACGAUCACAGUUUCAUUGACAGCCAUGAGCAAGACAUUCCAGAAGAUUCUGAGCAGUCAGAGCUGAAAAGUGGCCAACGAAAACCAGCUAGGGGACGCAAAUCUAGAUUGUCUAGAACACACUCAGUGAACGCAGUUGUUGAAGACGCAAAGAAAUUUUUAGGAGAAACUCCAGAAGCAUCAAAUGCAAGUUUGCUCAAUGAGAGUAGUUACAUAAAUGAAGGUGAUUCCAGUUUUAUGAGCAUCAGUCGGAAACGAGCCCGCCCUGAGAGCUCCAGGAUAGAAAGCGAGCAAGAUGAUUGUGAUAGCGAAGGACGUUCUGGUAGUGUCACAGCUGGUGGGCAUAGGAAGAGGCGCCAACCCGUUGCUUCAGCAGUGCAAACCCCUGGAGAACAGUGAUAUAAUCUCAGACACCGCAAGACUGCAGGCACAUUGGCAGCAGCAUCAGCAGCGCCUCACCUGAAAAGUAGAAGGAAGGAAGAAUCAAAUCCUGAAUCUGUUGGUGUAGACCUGAUUCAGGUCACAACGUUAAAAACUGUGGAGUCAACAGAGGAACGAGUUGUGAGGUUUGCAACACCAGAACCACAAGACACUGUUAAUGGCAAUGCUGAUGCUGAUGAAACGAAGUUGGUUGAAGAGAGAGAGUUGAGUACAGAAGUGAAUGGCACAGAAUCUAGUGGUGGCAACAGCACAGGCGGGGAGAGUGACAACAGCACAGGUGAUGAGAGCGGCGAUGACUAUGAUGAUGAGGAUCCAAUCCUGGUCAAGCGUCAAUAGGGAAGAAGAUCUGGACCUUCUUCAGCACAUGAUGAGUCAAAUUUAACUUGAAUAAUUAUUGAACAUCUUUGUAAUGGCAAUGACUUGGCUUCAGCAUCUUUAGCCCUGUAUUGAGUUGGCUUCAGUUAGUAGGCUCUCUUAGCUUUUUUCUUUUCUUUUCUUUUCUCCUUAUUUGCCUUGUAAUCCCAUUACCAGCUGUAGCUCCUGCAAAUUGAUAACUGAGCAGUCCGAUUGUAGAAGUGUAUAAAACAGCUCCUUGUUUCCUGAUGAAGUAAGGUUACAGAAUCAAGUUUUCAGA